rnacentral:rRNA from 1 species
GACGAACGCUGGCGGCGUGCCUAAUACAUGCAAGUCGAGCGGACUUUCAAGAAGCUUGCUUUUUGAAAGUUAGCGGCGGACGGGUGAGUAACACGUGGGCAACCUGCCUGCAAGACGGGGAUAACUCCGGGAAACCGGGGCUAAUACCGGAUAAUAUCUUCCUUCGCAUGAAGGAAGGUUGAAAGGCGGCGCAAGCUGCCGCUUGCAGAUGGGCCCGCGGCGCAUUAGCUAGUUGGUGAGGUAACGGCUCACCAAGGCGACGAUGCGUAGCCGACCUGAGAGGGUGAUCGGCCACACUGGGACUGAGACACGGCCCAGACUCCUACGGGAGGCAGCAGUAGGGAAUCUUCCGCAAUGGACGAAAGUCUGACGGAGCAACGCCGCGUGAGCGAAGAAGGUCUUCGGAUCGUAAAGCCCUGUUGUCAGGGAAGAACAAGUACCGUUCGAACAGGGCGGUACCUUGACGGUACCUGACCAGAAAGCCACGGCUAACUACGUG